CAGUCGCCGCGGGAAUACGUAGGGUGCGAGCGUUAAUCGGAAUUACUGGGCGUAAAGCGUGCGCAGGCGGUUGUGUAAGACAGGUGUGAAAUCCCCGGGCUCAACCUGGGAACUGCGUUCUGAACUGGGUGACUAGAGUGUGUCAGAGGGGGGUAGAAUUCCACGUGUAGCAGUGAAAUGCGUAGAGAUGUGGAGGAAUACCGAUGGCGAAGGCAGCCCCCUGGGAUAACACUGACGUUCAUGCUCGAAAGCGUGGGUAGCAAACAGGAUUAGAUACCCGUGUAGUCCCUGUCUCUUAUAC
rnacentral:rRNA from 1 species